rnacentral:rRNA from 1 species
CUAUGCGCCUUGCCAGCCCGCUCAGGUGUGCCAGCCGCCGCGGUAAUACGUAGGGGCAAGCGUUGUCCGGAUUUACUGGGUGUAAAGGGCGUGUAGCCGGGCUGACAAGUCAGAUGUGAAAUCCGGGGGCUCAACCCCCGAACUGCAUUUGAAACUGUUGGUCUUGAGUAUCGGAGAGGCAGGCGGAAUUCCUAGUGUAGCGGUGAAAUGCGUAGAUAUACGGAGGAACACCAGUGGCGAAGGCGGAUUGCUGGACAGUAACUGACGCUGAGGCGCGAAAGCGUGGGGAGCAAACAGG